rnacentral:rRNA from 1 species
AUGCAAGUAGAACGCUGAAGGAGGAGCUUGCUUCUCUGGAUGAGUUGCGAACGGGUGAGUAACGCGUAGGUAACCUGCCUGGUAGCGGGGGAUAACUAUUGGAAACGAUAGCUAAUACCGCAUAAGAGUAGAUGUUGCAUGACAUUUGCUUAAAAGGUGCAAUUGCAUCACUACCAGAUGGACCUGCGUUGUAUUAGCUAGUUGGUGGGGUAACGGCUCACCAAGGCGACGAUACAUAGCCGACCUGAGAGGGUGAUCGGCCACACUGGGACUGAGACACGGCCCAGACUCCGACGGGAGGCAGCAGUAGGGAAUCUUCGGCAAUGGACGGAAGUUUGACCGAGCAACGCCGCGUGAGUGAAGAAGGUUUUCGGAUCGUAAAGCUCUGUUGUAAGAGAAGAACGAGUGUGAGAGUGGAAAGUUCACACUGUGACGGUAUCUUACCAGAAAGGGACGGCUAACUACGUGCCAGCAGCCGCGGUAAUACGUAGGUCCCGAGCGUUGUCCGGAUUUAUUGGGCGUAAAGCGAGCGCAGGCGGUUAGAUAAGUCUGAAGUUAAAGGCUGUGGCUUAACCAUAGUACGCUUUGGAAACUGUUUAACUUGAGUGCAAGAGGGGAGAGUGGAAUUCCAUGUGUAGCGGUGAAAUGCGUAGAUAUAUGGAGGAACACCGGUGGCGAAAGCGGCUCUCUGGCUUGUAACUGACGCUGAGGCUCGAAAGCGUGGGGAGCAAACAGGAUUAGAUACCCUGGUAGUCCACGCCGUAAACGAUGAGUGCUAGGUGUUAGACCCUUUCCGGGGUUUAGUGCCGCAGCUAACGCAUUAAGCACUCCGCCUGGGGAGUACGACCGCAAGGUUGAAACUCAAAGGAAUUGACGGGGGCCCGCACAA